UGGGGCAGGGGGGCAGGAGGGGCUCAGGGAGAAAGCAUCUACAGCCCCUGGCCCUCUCUGCCCUUCCGUCCCCUGUCCCCAAAU